rnacentral:rRNA from 1 species
GAUGAACGCUGGCGGCGUGCCUAAUACAUGCAAGUCGAGCGAAUGGAUUAAGAGCUUGCUCUUAUGAAGUUAGCGGCGGACGGGUGAGUAACACGUGGGUAACCUGCCCAUAAGACUGGGAUAACUCCGGGAAACCGGGGCUAAUACCGGAUAACACUUUGAACCGCAUGGUUCGAAAUUGAAAGGCGGCUUCGGCUGUCACUUAUGGAUGGACCCGCGUCGCAUUAGCUAGUUGGUGAGGUAACGGCUCACCAAGGCAACGAUGCGGAGCCGACCGGAGAGGGGGAUCGGCCACGCUGGGACUGAGACACGGCCCAGACUCCUACGGGAGGUAGCAGUAGGGAAUCUUCCGCAAUGGACGAAAGUCUGACGGAGCAACGCCGCGUGAGUGAUGAAGGCUUUCGGGUCGUAAAACUCUGUUGUUAGGGAAGAACAAGUGCUAGUUGAAUAAGCUGGCACCUUGACGGUACCUAACCAGAAAGCCACGGCUAACUACGUGCCAGCAGCCGCCGUAA